UGAGAGAGAGAGAGACAGAGAGAAAGGUCUUCCUUUUGCAUUGGUUCACCCUCCAAUGGCCGCCGUGGCCGGUGCGCUGCAGCCGGCACACCGCUCUGAUCCGAUAGCAGGAGCCAAGUGCUUCUCCUGGUCUCUCAUGCGGGUGCAGGGCCCAAGGACCUGGGCCAUCCUCCACUGCACUCCCGGGCCAGAGCAGAGGUCUGGCCUGGAAGAGGGGUAACUUGGACUAGAACCCGGCGCCCCGACCGGGACUAGAACCCCGUGUGCUGGCGCCACAGGCGGAGGAUUAGCCUAUUGAGCCACGGCACCGGCCAAUACCUUCUCUUUUUCAUAAGAUGUCUUACAACAUUGGAAGUUUAGCUUUCUUGUCAUUCAGUCAGUAGUAGGAUGAGAUUCUGUAUUUGAUUUUCAGUGAUUUCAGCCCCGAGGCUACAGGAUAUUAGGCUAGAAGUUCUUAGACCAUUUAUGCAGUACUUGAAUUGAGAAUUUGAAUCUCAGAGCUCAUCUUUUUCUUUCACCAUUUUAUCUAGAGAUAUUAAUAAUAAAGAGACAACAUUAUUAAUGUCCCUUGGUUUACCAAAAUGUAUUCCAAAAUAUCAUAGAGUUAUUUAGCUCCUUGUUUCUUCUAAGUGGUUAAUGAGGAGUAUACAACGCAGAUAUUUUGCACCUCUCCAUAAGCGGUGUAGGCCAUGGACUAUCAGCGCUCCUCUUAUUACUAGAAACAGUAGUAAAUCUAACCAAACUAGACGGCUAGUUCUAGAAAUCUUAGACCAAUUCAGGUAGCUCAUCUUUAAUACUCUGUUCUUCUGUAGCCACUCAAUACCAAAAUCUUUAUUCCUUUAAGUUCUCAAAAGAAACAUAACCAAUGGGGGAGGGGGGAAGACACACACAUGCACAAACCUGAGGAUACUUUAAAAAGUUAAAGAAAAAUGGAAUUAAAAGGUAAGUAUUCUGGUGCAAAAACAUUUUAAAACCCAUUUGUAGUUUUUUCUAUAAAACUUACUUUCUGUGGCCGGCGCUGUGGUGUAGUGGGUAAAGCUGCCGUCUGCAGUGCCAACAUCCCGUAUGGAUGCUGGGUUGAGACCCAGCUGUUACACUUCUGAUCCAGUUCUCUGUUGUGGCCUGGGAAAGCAGAAGAUGGUCCAAGUCCUUGGGCCCCUGCACCCGCAUGGAAGGCCUGGAAGAAGUUCCGGGUUUGUGGCUUCCGAUUGUCCCAGCUCCAUCUGUUGUGUUCAUUUGGGGAGUGAACCAUUGGAUGGAAGACCUCUCUCUCUCUACUUCUGCCUCUCUGUAACUCUACCUUUCAAACAAAUAAAUAAAUCUUUAAAAACAAAACAAAAGCUUAUUUUCCAUGCAUUUGUUUUGAAGACUUCCUAAAAAAUUUGUGCACCAAAACAAGCUUGUCUUUUAAUUCCACUAAUGACUUGACAGGUUGUCAUUCAUAGUGUCAGAAUUGUCUCUUGUGAUUACAGAGACUAGAAGUUCCAUGACCAGCCAUUUGUAAGCUGAAGAGGGGGACCAGUGGUGCAAGUCCAAAUGUGGGUCUGAAAGCCAGAGAACCAAGGGUGUCACUGGCGAAGGGAAGAAAAAUAAAUGGAUGUCCCAGCUGAAGCAGAGAGCAGAACCACCAUUCCUCCACAUUUCUUUCUCUUACAGCCUUCCAAGAAUUAGGUUAUAUCCACUCACAUUGGUGAAGGCAACAUUUACUCAGUCAACCAAUUCAAAUACAAAUCUCUUCUGGCAACACAUGGGCAUCUGUUAGCCAGAUCAGGUCAACACAUAAAUUAGUAAUUAUAGGAUCUUUUCACUGGUUGGCUAUACACAUACAAACACUAAAUACUAUUCUAUUUUUCUCUUAUUUUCAUACAAAUGGUAAUAUAUACAUGCCUGUAUCUUCUUUAACAAAUCUGAGUGGAUUGUCGAAAGAUAUACUAAAUAGCUUCUUUAUUCAUUUUUACAAUCUUCUGUUAUUUCUUUGUUGAAAGUACUACAGUUUCUUUACUAUUAGUUCCAUCCUGCUGCACAAUUAUUAUUUCCAAGAUUUUGUUUAAGACAAUAGUGCAAUGAAAAUUGUGCAUAUUUUGUCACAUGUGUGCCAGAAUCUGUAUGAGUUAGAAGUGACGUUGCUUGUUUGCUGGUUUUAAAUGUAUUUGUGCUUGUUUAAAUUGAAAUGAAUAUAUAUUUGUUUAUUUUUACGUUUUGUUUUCUUGCCUUCUCUUUCUUUAGUUUCAUGAUUAACAGUGUGAUUAAGAUUAGACUAAAGACAAUUUCAGGACAUUUCUCUAGAAAUCUCUGGUUUCCACUUAUCUGUCAGCAUGUUUUGUAUGUAUUCAAUUAAAAAAAUUUUUUUUUGACAGGUAGAGUUAUAGGCAGUGAGAGAGAGAGAGACAGAGAAGAAAGGUUUUCCUUCCAUUGGUUCACUACCCAAAUGGCCGCUACAGCCGGCGCUGCGCUGAUCUGAAGCCAGGAGCCAGAAGCUUCCUCCUGGUCUCCCAUGCGGGUACAGGGGCCCAAGCACCUGGACCAUCCUCCACUGCCCUCCUGGGCCACAGCGGAGAGCUGGACUGGAAGAGAAGCAACCGGGAUGGGACCCAGUGCCCAUAUGGGAUGCCGGCGCCGCAGGCGGAGGAUUAACCAAGUGAGCCAUGGCGCAGGCCCCCUUGUAUGUAUUCAAUUUAUUGUGAGCUAAGAUCCAGCAGCUGUAUAAUGAUAUUGACUACAAGGAUAUUUGUAAUAGUGAGCUUUUGUCAGAUUCUUUCUUAAUAUCUGAUGUUUUCCUUUCCCUUCUUCUGAUAGACCACAAUAAGAGUGUUACCCACUAAAUGAUAACAUUAAAAAUAAUCGUGUCCUGUGUUAACAAGGACACAGUGAAUCUGGUGCUUUCAGACACUGACCAUUGCAAUUAAAAGUGGCAUGGCCCUUUUGGAAAACAAGUAUAGAUGGAAAAAUCUAUAAAAAUUCAUAUUGUCUGACCCAUUAGUGUUACUUCCAAGAAUCUAUCCCAAGGAAGUUGUACAAACUUGGAAAACAUGGAUGUUUGAGGAUGUUGAUGGAUAUCAUAUGUGCACUAAUAAAUAUGAAAAGUAACUCAGAUGGUCAACAACACACUAAUUUGAAUGCAUUUGAGAACAAUAUGCAACAAUUAGUAGUGACUAUGAGGAUUAUAAUACAGUAAGUAUGAAUAUGCUGUAAUACUUGUUGGGCGAAAUGUAGUACAAAUUUAUAUUCAGAUCCUAAUAUAGUAGGUUAAACAUCUACUUAGGAAUAUUGAAAUUAUAAAUGUAAAUAUAUUCUAAAAAAUGGGAAAAUAGGUGACUCCUUUUCUCCCUAUCUGUUUAUCUCUAGUUUUAUGGGAUAUUUAAGACUCUAAGUUUUCAAGAUAAGAAAAAAUGCAGUUAGAUUUGUCCUUGUGUUUUUAAUAUCCUUGUGCUGAUAUGAGUCAUAGCUUUUGACAGUUCUACCUUCUUUGCCACUAUUCAGUGGCAUGAGGUUUUUCACUGUUUUAUACAGUGAGUUCAUCCUAGAGUUGGCAGUGCAUUGCAUAUUGUCUUCAAAAGUGUUCUGUUAUUCCCUUCUCUGUAUCAAAGAGCAUUUUAUCACUAAGAUUCUUUUCAAUCAAAUUCCUCAUCAUAUUCUGUCUUUCAGAAGAACAAACUCAAAUAUUUUUAAGUCUUUUUUUUUUUUUGACAGGUAGAGUUAUAGACAGUGAGAGAGAGAGAGACAGAAAGAAAGGUUGGUUCACUCUCCAAAUGGCUGCUAUGGCUGGCACUGUGCUGAUCCGAAGCCAGGAGCCAGCUGCUUCCUCCUGGUCUCCCAUGCGGGUGCAGGGGCCCAAGCACUUGGGCCAUCCUCCACUGCCCUCCUGGGCCACAGCAGAGAGCUGGACUGGAAAAGAAGCAACCAGGACCAGAACCCGGUGCCCAUACAGGAUGCCGGUACCACAGGUGGAUGAUUAGCCAAGUGAGCCACAGUGCUGGCCCCUUGAACAAGCUUGUUCUUGCUUCUUGCCUACUUCCCAAAUUAAUCUCCAAUUACUCUCCCAUGCGUAUUAAGCGGAUACCAUCUUGACAUGUUUCUCAGGCCCAGCAAAUCUUUUUAAAAUGUUUUAAAGAGAUUUAAUAUCUCUUUUCACUGAAUUAUUUUUUCAAAAAUAUUAAUUUUAAAAGUGGCAAUUAUGAACAAAUUUUGUAAAAAAAAUCGUUCACCCCCAGUUGGACUGUCUCCCAAUUAUUUACAUAUUUCAUUAAAAUAAACUCAGGAAAAGUUAAUAAAAUGGCAGAAGUAUUAUGCAUAUAGACUUAUCCCACAAAAUAUAUAGAUAUCCUAUAUAUGUGACCAUGGUAAUGGUAUAUCUUCAAAAAAGGCAAACAACUAAAAUAUAGAGAGGAAAAUACUCUGUUUAUAUGUGAGUUAAUUUGUUAACUUGAAAUAAAAUAGGAAGGAAUAAUGUGAAGUAUGUAUUUUCCCCAAUAUCUGAAAAAUGAACUUGGUGGCAUUAUUUCUUUUUAUCGAAAUGCAUUUUAAAUUAUAGUCUGUCUUGUUACCUUUGUCUAGUUGAUUGUCACGUUAUCUUCAAAGCAUUAAGUUCCCUGUUAAUUUCAUAGAAUUGCAAUGAGAAUUCAUGACAUCUCCUGUUUGAUGCACUGUUACACAUCUGUGUAUUGUUCUGUCACUAAAUUGAAUUUCUCCAUAUUGAGCCAUCCAAAGGACUUGCUCCUUUAAAUAGCCCCAUCUAUGAUUUUCUAGAACCACUAUCAGAAAAUUGAUGAGAUUUAAAGAAACCAUUUCAUUGCACUUACAUAGUGUUAUACCUCCCCUUUCUCCAGCCUAUAAAUACACCAAGGAUUUUACUGUCUUGAGUAUCCCUUCCCUUAUUUUUUCCUAUUCAAAUUCAGAUUUCACCCUUAGCAUUUCCAAAUUACCAACACCAGUUGUUAGUUAUAAGUGUCGUGGAUCUCUUCAUAAAGAGAUUUUAAAAGUUUUUAAGUAAUAAAAAUAUUGAACUAUAAUUGUAUAUGUCGUUCAAUGUUCAGUCCAUGAUUAGUAGAUAUGACAUAAAAUUUUUGAAAAUUAAGUUAAAAUAUUACUUUGGUAAAUAGGAAGAUAAUUCUUAAAGGUUUUAUUGAGAAUAAUAACAGUAAGUGGUUUUUGUAUUGUGACUAUGUGUUAGAUAUAGAAUUGCUAAUCAUUUUAUAGGCAUUGUAUUAUUUAAAACUUAAUAAAACCUGAAGAGGUAGAUGUUAUUAAUAUCUAUCUUUUCUAGGUGGUGACGCUGCCUACAAGAAAUACAUCUCACCACAAUGAUAUACUCAGACUGAAAGUGAAAGAAUGGAAAAAGCUAUUCUAUGCUAACAGACAUUGGCUUUCAUUUCUGACUGUAUUAUUCAUAUUUUCUGUCAUAUAGUAAAGUAUUAUAUUCUUUUAUUUUACAUUUCCAUUUAAAAUUGCGAAAUGAAGUAACAGAGUUUAAAAUCAAAUUGGAAAACUCUUCCAAUGUAUUCUUUCGUGUAGCCAGUUUCAAAAUGAAAUGAAGAGAUUUGGCUGUUAACCAAAGCUUUUUUUGGAUGGAUAAGGAGUGAGGACUUGAGUACUUUUCCACAGUUAGAUUUGAAAAAAAAAAAAAAGCUCAUUUUGUAUUGAUAAUUCUUCUCUUUCUUUAGUUGGUGAAGAGAAAAUGACAUCCUGUACUUAAUUUUCCUGUUUAAGAUAGGAAGUGAGAACUAUACAAUACCAUUAGUGUCAUGAGAAAUAAUGAUAAUGGCUGAUCUCUUUCAUCUACAUGAAACCUUGAAAAACAACCAAAAAUAUCUAAAGCACCAAGUUCAGUAUUCAUAAACAGUGAUUUACUCCAUCUGAACCAGGGACCUAAACCUAGAGCUUUGUUUCCCACCUGUAGUAAAGUCGUAUCAAGGGUGGGCUUUCGGUGCAAUUGUUAAAUCACUGCUUGAGACACCUGCCUCCCAUGUCAGAAUGCCUGGAUCCAGUGCCAGCUCCUCUGCUUCUGAGCCAGUUCCUGCUUGUGCCCAGCUUGGAAGGCAGCAGAUGAUGACUCAACCACUUGGGUCACUGACACCCACAUGGGAGACUAGAAUGGAAUUCUGGGCUUCUGGCUUUGGUCUAGCACAGUCUUGGCUGUUGUGGGCAUCCGGGGAAUGAACCAGCCUAUUAAUUUCUCUCCUCUCUCUCUUUUCCCCUCUUCUCUUUCUCUCCUUUCUCCUGCUCUGCGUUUCAAAUAAAAGAAAUGAAAAUAAAUAAUUUUUUUUGAAAAUCAUGUUCAUUGUCACAUUUAUGUCAUCAGCUCAGGAAUGGCUAACUCAACUUAUCUGGUUAUAUCUGGCUUGACAUCUAAGGUGCCAUAAAUAUCAGUUAUGAAUUCUUUUCUGUUUUUUAAAAUUCAAUAUAUUGAGGCCGGCACUGUGGCAUAGCCGGUAAAGCUGCCCCUGCAGUGCUGGUAUCCCAUAUGGGUGCCAGUUCGAGUCCUGGCUGCUCCACUUCUGAUCCAGCUCUCUGCUCUGGCCUGGAAAACAGUAGAAGAUGGCCCAAGUCCUUUGGUCCCUGUACCACGUGGGAAGAAGCUCCUGGUUCCUGGCUUCGGAUCAGCACAGCUCCAGCUGUUGCAACCAUCUGGGGAGUGAGCCAGUGGAUGGAAGACCUCUCUCUCUCACUCUGCCUCUGCCUCUCUGUAACUCUGCCUUUCAGAUAAAAAAUUUAAAAUUAAAAAAAAUUAAAUAUAUUAAUGUUGCAUUUCAAGAAAUGUAAGAAAAAUCAUAACAGAGACUACUAAAAGUAAUUUCAUCUAUGUUUGAUGCAAGUGUACAAAGGUGGCAUUUGGCAUUCUUCGUUAUUGCUUAUUUUUCUUUCUUUACAUUUACUUUGCUUUAUUUGGUUACUUUUUAUUCAGUGCUGUUUUCAGCUAAAUUAAUGUACUGUAAAAUUCCAAAUAAAUAACAAGAGCUGAGAAUUUGAGCAUAAAGAAUAGAUAAUGCAUGAAUUUAAAAUGUAAGCACAAUUUGUAUACCUUAAAAUUGCAUGCCUACUUAUUUUUUAAAAAUUUAUUAUUCACUUGAAAGGCAGUUAGAGAGAAAGAGACAAAGACAGAGAGAGAUCUUGUGUCUGCUAGGUCACUCCCCAGAUGGCCUUAAUGGCCUGGUCAGGAGCCUGGAGCUCCAUCUGGUUCUCCCAUGUGGGUAGAGGGGACCCAAAUCCUUGGGCCAUCUUCUGCUGCUUUCGCAGGUGCAUUAGCAGUGAGCUGGAUGGGAAAUGGAUAAGCAUUCAUAGGGGAUGCAGGUGUCUUGGGCAUUGGCUUAACCUGCUGCACCACAACCCUGGCCCUGCAUGUCUGUUUCAUUGGUAUUAUUUUAUAUUCAUGAACCACUUUGAUCUACCUCUUAAAAAUGUUAGUAUGGCUGCUAGUAUCAAUUAUCUACUGAAUAAGAAAAUAUUCAGCAUGUAUAUUCUCUUAUGCCUAUGAAAUUACAUUAUGACUCCAAGAACCCAAUUCAUUAACACUGAAGAACAAAAUGAUAAAACUAACAUGUAAGGGAUAUUGUGAGGGCAUAGCAGAUAGAGCUGUGGCCUAUGAUGCCAGCAUCCCAUAUGAGUGCUGGUUCAUUUCUCAACAGCUUCUCUUCAGAUCCUGCUCUCUGCUAAUGGCCUGGGGAAAACAUUGGAAGAUGGCCCAAGUGUUUGGGCUCUGCUGCCCAUAUGGGAGACCUGGAUGAAGUUCCUGGCUCCUGGUUGCAGCCACUGGGGAGUGAACCAGUGGCUAGAAGAUAUAUUCUCUUUCUCUCUCUAGCCCUUUUAAAUAAAUUUAUAAAAUGAUUUUAGUUGGUGGUUUUGAAAAAAAUUAGGACAUUUGACAAAAUGUGUUACUUAAAUUUUGAUUUUUCAAAUAUUUCAAAAUUAGAAAAAUAUUGAGGGAUUUCUUAAAUGCUAUCAAUAAAUGAUGUUGUCUAAAAUAGCCCAGCAUGACAACUAAAAACAUAAUUACAGAAUAAAAGAAUGGAUACUACAUGAAAUAUAUAAAUAUUUAUUAGUUUUAACAGAAAUGUACAAACCAUAAAAGUUGGAGAAAAGACUGCAUAAAACAUUUUCUGGGUGGAGAUCAGAUAAAACUGUUUUCUUUGAGCAAGUUACAAUGUUGUUUAUGAUUUUGUUACCAAUGUGAUGCAUUAUUUUCACUGAAUGACAUUUCUGUUGGUGAACCACUUCUUCCUUGCACAGUGCUUAUUUAUUUAUCAUAACUUGAAAUCCUUCAAAAGUAUUUGAUCUAUAUUCAACUGUAAUUUGUGUAGUGCCUACUAGAUACUAAGUAGUAUUCUAGGGACUGGGACUGUAACAGUGAGUAAAACGGAGCCCCUGCCCUCAUGAAACUUAAAUUCUAGGACAGAGGAAGAGAGGCAACAGAUGAUAAACAACAUUACACUAACGUUACUGGACAGUAGGAAAAACAGGACAGAGCAAGGGCAGAGUGCCUGAUGGGGGGAAAUAUGCUUCAAGUAGGACCAUUAAGAAAGGUUAUUUGGGGCUGGCGCCGCGGAUCAAUAGGCUAAUCCUCCACCUGCGGUGCCGGUAUCCUGGGUCCUAGUCCUGGUUGGGGCGCCGGAUUCUGUCCCUGUUGCUCCUCUUCCAGUCCAGCUCUCUACUGUGGCCUGGGAAGGCAGUGGAGGAUGGCCCAAGUGCUUGGGCCCUGCACCCACGUGGGAGACCAGGAGAAGCACCUGGCUCCUGGCUUCGGACCAGCGCAGUGCACCGGCCACAGUGGCCAUUGAGGGGUGAACCAACAGAAAAGGAAGACCUUUCUCUCUGUCUCUCUCACUGUCUACUCUGCCUGUUAAAAAAAAAAAGUUAUUUGGAAUAUACCCUCCCUGAGAAGAGAUCUGACAUCAAUGAGAACCAAGCCAUGUGAAUAUUUGUAGAGAAUUCUCUAUGGGCCAGCGCUGUGGUACAGCAGGUAAAGCUGCCUGCAGUGCUGGCAUCCCAUAAGGGCACUAGUUCUAGUCCCGGCUGCUCCACUUCUGAUCCAGCUCUCUGCUAUGGCCUGGGAAAAUGGUGGAAGAUGGCCCAAGUCCUUGGGCCCCUGCACCCUUGUGGGAGACCCAGAGGAGGCUCCUGGCUCCUGGCUUCGGAUCAGCACAGCUCCAGCCAUUGCAGCCAUUUGGGGAUUGGACCAGUGAAUGGAAGGUUCUCUCUCUCUCUCUCUCUCUCUCUCUCUCUCUCUGCCUCUCUGUAACUCUGCCUUUGAAAUAAAUAAAUAAAUAUUUUUUUAAAAAAAAACAAUUCAUUCUCCAGACAGAGCUUCUGUGGAAGUUUUCCAAAUUCCUCCAUCUUGUUGCAAAUCACCGGGUUUCGUUGUUUUUGACUGCUGUAUAGUAUUCUUUUUUUUUUUUAGUUGAUUAAUCAUCUUUUUUUUCCCUCUUUUUUUUUAUUUUUUUAGCUUUUAUUUAAUGAAUAUAAAUUUCCAAAGUACGGCUUAUGGAUUACAAUGGCUUCCCCCCCAUAACGUCUCUCCCAACCGCAACCCUCCCCUUUCCCACUCCCUCUCCCCUUCCAUUCACAUGAGGAUUCAUUUUCGAUUCUCUUUAUAUACAGAAGAUCAGUGCUGUAUAGUAUUCUAUAGGAUACAUGUCCCAUAAUUUCUUUAUCCAGUCUACUGUUGAUGGGCAUUUGGGUUGGUUCCAGGUCUUAGCUAUUGUGAAUUGAGCUGCAAUAAACAUUAAGGUACAGACAGCUUUUUUGUUUGCCAAUUUAAUUUCCUUUGGGUAAAUUCCAAGGAGUGGGAUGGCUGGGUUGAAUGGUAGGGUUAUAUUCAGGUUUCUGAGGAAAUCUCCAGACUGACUUCCAUAGUGGCUUAACCAAUUUGCAUUCCCACCAACAGUGUGUAAGAAUUCAACCUGGUGUUAGAGACAGUCCAGUGUGUUAGCAUAGAAGAGGUGAGGAAUAGUUGGAGAUGAGGUUAGGGUGGUAGCUGGAAGCCCUUAAAGAGUGUACUGUAGGCCCUAGAAAGAAUUUGUGUUUUAUUCAAGGGUUUGACUGGGAAGGUGGGCUGAUGUGUAUUCUCGCUACCAUGUAUAUAAUUGAUUAUUGGGGAAAAAAAGAGUGCUCUCCUGGGUCAUGAGUUAGAAGGUAUUUCAGAGACCAUUGUGGCUUUGGAGGUGUGGACUAGAAACUUCGCAGCUGUGUGCAAGCACUUCUGGGAUUAUGUAUUUUGUUUAAGAACGUGUAACCUUUGUAUAUUUUUAUUUGUUCGGUUAUGUAUGUACGUUUGUUUGAAAGGCGGGAGUCAGAGAUGAGAGACAGAGAGGCAGAUAGAGAUACCCUGUCUCUUCAGUCACUCCCCAAAUGCCCCCAAAGUUCGUGCUGGGCCAGGUCAAACCAAAUCCUGGAGCCAGGAAUGUAAUCGGGAUCUCCCAUGUAGGUGGUAGGGAACCAAGCACUUGAACCAUCACCUGCUACCUCCCAGGGUGUGCAUCAGUAGGGAAGCUGGAGUCAGGAGCCGGAACCAGGACUCCAACUUGGACACUAGCUGUGGGCUUCCCAAGCAGCAUCUCAAUUGCUCUGCCACCCUGCUGGUGUCUCACAUUGGACUCAGUGUUCUGUGUAAGGACAGUGACAGAAAUCAAAGUGCCAUAGACUCAUUUAGGAGCAAUUUUUGUUCAUUUAUCAUUGUAUGUGAGUUUUAUUUUUCCUAAGGCAGCUUAUCAAUAAUUAAACAUUAAAAAAUUGGACUAUAUAAAAAUUAAAUGUGCCGCUUAGCAUUUCCAUCUUUUCCCCUUUUUACAAUUAAUUCCUACUGUAACACUUAUCGUUUUACAUGCCUUCUCUUCCUCAUUUGAUUAUUGCUUGGUGACUUGCAAGUAUUGAGAAGAGAGAUAUGCUGUAGUUUUAUAUAUGCAUUUCAUAGUUAUAAACAGAAUUUUAUCAUUUACAUCAAUUUUUUUAAACUUUUAAAUUGAUUCAGAGUCUGUUGCAAAAGGUAGAAAUCUAAUUUAAAAUGGCUUAGAGCAAAUUUUUAGCUUACAAAUUUGGACAGUUCAACAGGUAAAUUCAGGCAUGUCAGAGUCAAGGUUUUGAACUAAUGUUCUGGAUAAACUUCUCUCACACUGAAACUUUGUAUUCCGUUUACUUCUGCUUGGCUUAGCUCUCAAAUAUAUAAUAUCUAGAACAUAAUAUUUAUAUAUCUAUAAAAUGUCUAUUAUAUACAUAGAACGCUAAUGCAGUGAUAGAAAAUGUUAGCAAGAUUAGAAUAGUGCAAAGGUCUUAUGGUGUCCUGUGUACUGUUUUAUUCUUGUGAAUUUCUCUUUAUUCAGAUUUUUUGAAAUGAGAAAUUAAAAAAGUACUGUCAGAGCCUAAAAUAUUUAAGUGACCACAUUAAGCUGUAAUACAACUAUAUAAAUAUUUGUUAUCUAUAUUGAAAUAACACCCAAAACUUGAGUAUAUAGAAAGGUGACAUAGUGUAUUUGAAAAAAGCAUCGUAUUGCAAUUAUGAUUUGAAAAUACAGUAAUUAAAACAGAGUUUUCACUGCCUCGUUUUAAUAGCAGAUUGGAUACACCACAGUGGCAUUUAGUAUGCCGGAAGAUGAGGCAGAUGCAGGAAUCAUCAUUGUCAAACAUGAAUAUCUGAAAGAAGAGAAAGAGAAGAAACACUGAGAGGAACUUAUAUUCAUUUCAUUGGAGCUUCAAAAGGAGAAGAAAGAUGCACAGAGUACAUUACCCAGUGGCCUUGGGAUGAUGUUUCGUUUUCUGUGACAAAGAUAGGUUAAGCGACAGCUACUAACAUCAACUUCAGUGUCUUCCACUUCAUCGUUUCUGUUUUCCAGGGCUGGCUUGGAGAUCUUCAUCGAUCAUCUAUUUUUCUAUCUGGAAACUGGAGGGAAGUAGCUCCUUACCUAGCUUAGAAAAGAUUUACAAGGAUAAGUUGAGAUAUUUGUACCUUGAAAGCUUACAUUGAUUAGCUUAUAACUCUUCAAAAUUCAAAAUAUAUUCCUCUCCCUGCUUGUGCUUCUACUACCAAACAUUGAACCCUGCAAACAAAUAGAAAUAACUCUCUCUUUUAGACUUGAUGCCAUAAUCUUCCUAUUUACUUCUAUGGCAAUAAAUAAUAAUAGUUAACGUUUCUAUAUAGUCAGAAAAAAAGUUUGCCUUGGCUUGAUGUGACAGGACAUGUUUUGAAACAUUUCUGUCAUAUUUCACAGUAUAUUUUGUUUGUUGUAACCUGUUGAUUAAAUAGAAAUGUUUUUCAACACACAAUCCUUUACGUAUCUACAUAAUUCCUUACGGCAUGGAAGAAUUGCAUUGACCAGGAAUUUUCACAUUUAAGCAAGCCUUAGAAAUAAAAGUAAAAAAUACCGCUGAAUUUCUAGCAUGGUUAUUCUUUUAUUUUAAAAAAGGAGAGAUUUAUUUAUUGGAACCACAGAGUGACAGAGAGACAGGGAGAGUCAAAUGUUUGCCAUGCACUGAUUCACUAUCCAAAUGCCAACAAAAGUCAAGGCCAACACCAGCAGCUCCAUCUGGGUGUCUCCUGUGGGUGGUGGAAGCUGAAUUACUUGAGCCAUCAUGUGCUGCUUUAUUGGCUAAAGCAUGCAGUGGGUUGGAAGCAUGGAGUAGCUGGAACUUGAACCAGGCACUCCAGUAUGGGAUGUAGGCAUUCUAAGCAGUGUGCAACAACACCUGUCCUUGAUUAUAAGUUUUAGCCAUUUUGAAAACCGAUAAGGGAGAGGGGAGCUAGGGUGUUUGUUGCAAAAGAUGUCAUUCUUACCUCAUUAGAACUUUCGUUUUUUAAACUUGCAAAUACAUGUUAAAGAAUCCUACAUAUAGAAAACCUAAAAUAUAAAAAUACAUAUAUAACAAGAAAAAUAAAAACCACAUUGUAGUGGUUUUUAUUAUUUAUUAUUUUAUUAUUUAUCACUGUUUGAUGUACAAAAACUAUCACUCUGGGGAUGGUGCUGUGAGUAGGGGGUAAACCUACCCCCCUGCAUCCCAUGUGGGAGCUUGUUCAAGUCCUGACUGCUCCACUUCUGAUUCAGCUCUCUGCUAUGGCCUGGGAAAGCAGCAGAAGAUGGCCCAAAUACUUGGGCCCCUGCUCCUGUGUGGGAGGCUCGGAAGAGGCUCCUGGCUUCUGGCUUUGGAUUGACCCAGCUGUGGCCAUUUGGGAAGUGAACCAGCAGAUGGAAAACCUCUGUCUCCCUCUCCCUGCCUCUGUCUCUCUGUAACUCUGCCUUUCAGAUAAAUUAAAAAAAAAACACAAAACUAUAACUCUAAGCUAUUUUUACGGAGCUUUCUUGCCCUUCGUAGACAAUUGAAAAAUAAUUAUUGCAUAAAUAUUAGUCUUGCUAAUUAUAAUUAAAAUGUGACUUCAAGUAGUUCAUUAUCACAUAUGUUCUGUGAAGAAUACCAUCUGCUGUUUAUUUUACUUCCACCGAUAACUCACUCAGCAUUGACCGUGCCCUCACAUGUCAUUGCUGUGAGUCUUGUCACACUCUAACUGAAGCCUUGCUCUCAACUUCCAUGCAGGGCAAGUUGGAUGUGACCAGAGGUUACUUAGCUAAUAACAUAUAGAAGUUAGAGAUAAAUAUCAUUUUCUGGUACCCCAUGUUGGAUAAUUCUGAGCUGUGUCCUAUAUUGGCUACCAGCAUUCCACAGCUGGACGGUUGGUCAAAGCUAUAACCUACUCAACAACAUACCUUUCUGGCUACACUCUUCAUCUACACUCAUCAUUCCUUAUUGGUGCUUCCAGAAAUCACCUCCUAAAUAAACUACUUGCAUUGAAAUCCCCAUCACAGGAUGGUAUUCUUGGAGAAUCCAAAAUAAGAAAUGCACCUUUUACAAAAUUCUGAGGGUGCUAAUAAGGGAAGAAUCAUAGCAUAGACACUAAAGGGAUAAACUGGUUAAGUUUUGUUUUGUACAUGUGUGUUUUAACAAUUUUCAGUCUGUAUCAAGCCUUUGAGACUUGGUAACAUAGUUAUGCCAUUUCCCUAGGCCACUGAAGAUUGAAUGGGGGUGGAUAUCUUAGGUUGAAAGAAAUAACCAACACAGAGAACAGCUGCAAUUAUUUCACUGUAAAGCACUAAAGGCAUGCAAGGGGUUCUAAAUAUUGUGUUUAUAUCAGAAGAUAAACUGAAACAUGUGGCCUGUCCCAGCAUUGAUUGAACAUGAAUGAAUGCAUAUAAUCAGCUCAGGUAUCUGGGAUGACAGUGGUCAAAUCAACUUUAAGGGAAAUAAUCCAUUAGUGGGGCUUGUCCAAUGCUAACUUCCAGGUAUGGGGAAAGAUACUUUAACUUUGCCAGUAGAGUAUGGUCACGUUGCUCCUAAGUGUAAUUUCAGGAAACACUUAAAAGCAUGUGAAAUUCCUGACAUCCAGACCAAGAUGGUUUGAUGAAAUUCUUACAUCGGUGAUAAAGAAGCCCACUUUCAGGGCAGGUGUUUGGCCUACUGGUUAAGAACUGGUUGAAAUGCUCAUGACCUGGCUCCAGCUCCCUACCAGAGUAAACCAUAGGAGGAAGCUGGUGAUGGCUCAAAUAGGUGGGUCUCUGCAACCCGUGUAGGAGAUCCGAUUGAGUGUCUUGGCUCCUGGAUUCAGCCUGGCCCUGCCCCAGCCGCUGGGGAUAUUUAGGAAGUGGUUCAACAGAUGGGAAAUCUGGAAUCUCUCUUUGCUUUGUAAAAAAAAAAAAAAAAGCUUACUUGCUUAUUUGGUUUUCAGAUGGAAAGUUUAUAUUGCUCUUCAGUAGCAUUGUCACAGUUUUCAGUGGAAAUGUGUUUUGUAUUUAUGAUCUAGCAUGUAUGCUUUCUUAGAAAAUCAAAAGAUGAUUACAGUUGAUUUUCAACACAGGAUUAUAAAUUAAGGAAUCAAAUGAUUUUUAUGCAAAAAUUUGCUUCUUCUACAUAAAGAAAAUGAUGGGUCUUAAUUUUUUCCAUAACAAAUUGCAAAAUAUAAAACCCGAGUUUAUUUCAUUUAAAAGUGGGAAAAUUGGGUUAGGUGCUGUGGUGCAGUGGGUAAAGUCACUAGCUGGGACAUACACAUUGCAUAUUAAAGUCCCCUUUUGAGUCCUGGUUACUAUUUCUCUGCUCUAGCUUCUUGCCAGUACACCUAGGAAGACAGCUGCCACCCAUGUAGGAAGUUUGGAUAGAUUCUUGGCUCCAGGCUUUGGCCUGACCCAACCCUGGAUGUGGCAAACAUUUGGGGAGUGAACCAGCAGGCAGAAGCUCAUGCUUGCUGUCUCUCUCUCUAACUCUGCCUUUCAAAUAAAUACAUUAAAUAUAUUUUUAAAACCUGGGAGAACUUACUUUCAGAAUUGUUAGAACGUGAGUUUUCAUAUUGAAAAGAGAGUCAGUUCUAAUACAGAAACCUAAAAUUUAUCAUUACAAACUGAAUAAAAUUUGGUCAAACUUUUGUGAGUGUGUAAAAAAUCAGUUGGUUUGCCAAAAUUUUGAUCCCUUUUGACUGAACUUUUGCACCUUUAAUAUUUUAAUACUUACAUUAACAAAAUGAAAUCCUUCUGAAGCCCACACAGUAACAAACAUUUUCCCUCCAUUGACAAGUCUACAUAUAAAAUAGUUGCCUUAUUAUUUUUAGGACAAAUGACUAAGUCAGUUUCAUACCUUAUUAGCCUCUCUACAAUUAAAGCAUUAUCCUAUUAGGAAAUUUGAUGUUUAGGAAGGGAGUGGGGAACAUUUAUGAUUCUGCACAUGUUCUCUGUAUGAGGCAAUAUAAUACUUAAAAAACCAAAUUUAUUAAGAUUCCAUAAUUCUUCAAGCUUAAUAUUUGUUGAUAUUAAUGAUCCCUUUUGGGUUCAAGAAUGCAAGGCAAUUGUACUUUUUGGCUAAAGAGAGCAAGAGAAAAAAUCCUUCUCUAACAUCCUGGAUUCCCUGAGGUGCCUGGGCUUUUGGCCAGCCUUCCUAGGAGAAAGCCCCAGCUGCCACAGUCUGUACAUUCCUGUGUGUACAGAGGCUGAGCAAAGUCUCUCUCACAAGCUGAAAACCAGCCACAGAAAGCCAGGUGCAAACAAGACAGCGGGGUCCAAGCAACACAGAGGGUCCAGGCCAUAGGAGCCUGCAAUGUGCUAUUCACUGUCAAGAACACCUUUCUUGUUACCUUUGCUCUCAGAGGACUCCAACCAGUCCUAUUUAUAGCGAUGAAGGAGGCUGACUUCCCCAGGAGCCUCAGUUGGGUCAAAUGGGCAUUAAAGAAUUUCUGCAUUAGAGAACAUUGUCUUGUUCUGAGAUGGUUUUAGGAGCCUUUAUGAGGAAUAAUAAUGGCCAGGGCACAAUAAAGGUUGACCUUUGGUUGACCUUCUUUAGCUCAUGAAGCCUGUUUGGAGCACAUUAGGAGUGAAACCAACAUUAAUCCUCGUGCCCUUGGUAUCAUUUCCAUAAUGGGCAGAUCUGCAUGCAAACAGCUCUCGACUUUUAAGGGAGCUCUUCUAAACUUCUGUGUUUUCCUCACUCUGGUUUUCUUUUUCUUCUCUGAGAGCCGAGGUUCCUUUCCAGAAGGCUUCAUUUUGUGUUCCCAUUUCCUCGUGGGAAGAUGGUAGUCAUGCACAAAUGCAACAAAUUUGAAAUGCUUUUCAGUUAUCAAAUACCCUUGCAAAGACAAUGCAACUAACAGUAACAUUCUACAAAUGGUAGUCACUGCAAUGAGACAGAAAAUUGAAAAGUGUAGAGAAUUCUGUAUAAGUUACAUGGUAGACUUUCCAAGAAUUCUUUUACAGGAAUAACAAUUUUGGACAAGUUAGUUUUUGAAACGAAAAACCAAAAAGCAUAACAUACUAUCUUUAGAUGGAAUGCAGAUCUUUAGAUGGAAUGCAAAUGAAGAAAAUGGUACAGUCUCAAAGAGGGUCAUAUAAAAGUCAUGGCUGGGCUGGCAUUUGGCACAGUGGUUAAGGUGCCGCUUGGGGCACUCGUAUUCCAUUUCAGAGGACCUGGGUUUGAGUUUCUGCUGUGCUCUCAAUUCCACCUUCCUACUAGUGAGUGCCUUGAGAGGUUGGAGGUGCUGGCUACAGAACACAGGUUCCUGUCAUCCAAAUGGAAGACUCAGAUUAUGUUCUAGGCUGCUGGCUUUGGCCUAGCUCAGUCUAGCCCUUCCUGUUGCAGGCAUUUGGGGAGUAAACCUGUGAAUGAUUCUGUCUCUGUUUGUCUCUUUAUCACUGCCUUUCAAAUUAAAAACAGUAAUUGUUUAAAAAAUCAUAAUAUGUGAUGCUUGUGAUCGCCCAGAUAGGCAUGCCAAUUAUAUGCAAAACCAGUCUAUUAGGGAUUGAUUAUUAGGCUAAUGUCAUUAAAUGUUUACAGUAUGCCAAGUCCCAGUGCUAAACCCUAUGGAUCCUUCCAGCAGGCUAAAGUAUUUGCUUCAUUUUCACAUGAGAAUGCUGGCUCAGGAGUUAAGCAACUUGGUGACUGGCUUACCUUAGAUUCCAUACCUUAGAAAUGAUCAAGCCAUGAUUUGAACCCAGAACUGUUAGAAUACUGUGUUGGUAUGAUUAAUCAGUCUUUACUGUUUGUCCUCUUUUUGAAAUACAGUAAAACCUGCCUAUACCAAUUAACCUAAAAAUGCCCUAAUACUAUGAAUUUACUCAUUGUUUCACCAUUUAUGCAGUUCAUUAUCCUGAGCUAUUUUUUGACUGUGCCUCUGGCAUUGUAGGUCUGGGCUGUGAGUCAUUGUGGAGUUGGAUAUUGUCAUGCUUGUAUCAAGGAGUUAGUCCACUGUUCACUAUUAUAUCUUUGGCUGUAUUUUUAGAAAAUAACAUGUUUUUUAAAAAAUCAAUUGAAAACAUUUAAGAGAAUAAAUGAGAAUCAAGCAAUUCAGGAGUGGACGUUUUAGCUGCCUAAUGGAUCUUUAAGAAAAAAUGUUCACCUAAUGUUUGCUUUUUAGGUUGAAAGGGAAAUUUCCAAAUUUAAAUCCAUCAAUAACCAUUUAACAGUUCCAUUCCCUAAAAUAUCCUAAACAAUGAAAACUAUAUAUCACAUCAUUUAGGGAAUUCUGGUAAUCAAGGCAGAAAGGAGAUCAUUAAGAAUUUAAGAAAAAUGAAAAUAGGAUUAAAAGGUAACAUACAUUAGAAGUGGAGAAAAAGUUAAAAUAUAAGAAUAAAAUUAAGCAAAGGUCUUCAUGCCAAUCUUUUUUAAUAAGGAUUUUUCUGUGAGUAACACAUGACAAUGUAGUCAUGAAAAUCUACUGUGUAUGACAUUCCUAAAGUUAAAGAAAAAACUAAGAAAGGAUGCAUAUUGAAAUAGAAUACAUUAAUGCUGGGGGAAAAAACUAGUACUUUUAACUUACUGAGGAAAAUAGGGGCAGGCUUUUAGCCUAGUGGCUAAGGCCCUGGCUAAGAUGCCUACAGCCUGGGUUUGAGUCCUGGUUCCAGCUGCUGACUCCAGCUUCCUGCUAAUGCAGAUCCUGGAAGGCUGCAGUUAUGGCUAGUAUUGAGUUUCUGCCACCCAUGAGGGAGACAGAGAUUGAGUUGCUGUCUCCUCUGAUUUUGGCCUAGGCCAGCCCAGGCCAUUGCAGGUGCUUGGAUAGUAAACAAGUGGCUAGUGGUGCUUUCUUGCUCUCUCUCCUUUGCUCUUUCUCUCUUUUCCUCUCUCUGCCUUCUCUCUUUGUCUCUCUGCUUUACAAAUAAAAAAAAAAGAAAGAA